ACUUGAUGAUGUGGGAAUUUGAGCAGAAGGUCCCUAAAGUGCUCCCAUGUCUCAAAAAAAUGUUCCCAAUCCAAUUAGGAGAAAUUGGUGAUUGCCUUUCUAAGCU